AUCAAGCAAUUCUAUACACUCCCGCCAAAAAUUAUUAAAUCCCUCCCAAAUAACCAUCACAAAAUUUAAAAAUUGGAUACACAAAUAUCCAUUUCAUAACUUCCCUGGAGUAAAACUUACGUCAAAAACAAAAACCAAAAAAAUUAUGGGUCUGGGUCUCUCUUAAUAUAGAGAAAAAAAAAAACUUAAUAGAGAGAAAAAAAUGAGAAAAUUGGGGAAGCAGAGAGAGCGACAUCUACAACAAUAAACGAUAACGGCAACAACCAACAACAGUUUCAACUCUUGAAAUGUAGCGGAAGCUGAUGCCGGAUUGCGACAUGAAUAGGAGGCUGAAGGGUACUGGGCUGGUGGGACGGCAGCGAGCAGAUAGAGGCUCCGUCGAGAUCAGUGGCUUCAACUCAAGCCACUACCGAGCAACAACAACAUCAAUUUCAAUGGACGGCCAAAAUGGGUAUUCAGAUUUCAUUGGUCUUAUAGGUGGUUCCCGUAUUGAUUUCGGCGGUUAUUGAGGAUUAAUUUUGGGCGAAAACGAUUGAUUUAUUCCCGAUUUGAUGAUCGUGAUUUGAAGAGGGUAUUUGAACAAAAGUUGGAGCAACUGACGAAUAAAGAAAUGUGUUAUUUGACGAGAGGUACUUUCCUUAUUUGAAAUACUAUUUUGAUCAUAGUUUUAAUAAUCUCAUAAACCCGUUAUUAUCAAUAAUUAAAAUUGUAUAAGUACAUUUUUUUAAAUAAUCUCAUAAACUCUUAUUACUAGAAUGUGGCCGGAUUUAUAUUUAGUUCUUCAAAAGUACUUUGAAACUGUCAAUGACUCAUUGUUGGUUGUGGAAGGAGAGGCAUUCUACAUUGAGAUGGUUAAGUGAUGAGAUUGAGAGGGGUAAUCAAGCCAGUGUGUUGCUAUAAUGUUGUUAAAAAUCAUAUCACCGUCGCAAAGCCCACUUGGAAGCUUUGCUGAAUAUUGAUAAGCUUUGCUGGAGCUUUGUUGUCAGAAUUUGAUUUUACUAUAGAAAACUAUGAUUGAGGCAAAAAAGUAGGGAAAGGCUUCAAGUUGAACAUUGGGUUAUAUAUGCAUCUGAUUAUGUUGCUUGAAUGGUCAACCAAUCGGAUCCAAAUAUGCAUAGAUAUGCUAUAAAUGUCUCAGUUGAAACUUACUAUGAGAGAGUUACUCAUUAUAUCACAUUUCAUGUCUAUACUACUAUUAGAACCAGCACAUUGAAGAAUAAGAGUAAUCAUGUCUGAAACUACACACUGUCACACUGGAUGUAUAAUUUAGCUGAUAGUUUAACAUAUUGUAGUGUUUUUAGUAAUUUAUGUGUUGGGCUUAUUGAUUGUUAUCGGUUUAACAUACUGUAUAUCGUCUUACGUAAUUUCAUAUUCAUUGUGAUAGUUUGAAUUUCUAUGAAUAAUGGAUAUUGUUAAUUAUUUGAAGUGAGUAUUGAACUAUUGAUGGGAAUUGUUUAUCUUAUUUGUCGAUGAGAAAGAUAUUAGCAUUCAAGUUGUAUAUUAGUGACCGUGUAAAAUGCAACUGAGUACAAGUAGUUCUCAUUGGAACAGAGAAAUUUCAUUGAGAAGAAUAUGUUUUGAUGAUUAUGUUUCCAAUUUCCACCCAAAUUUGAACUCUUUAGGAUUUUAUUGUUAUUUUUAUUAUUAUAUAGGAUAUGAUUAUUAUGCCGUGUUUGAUCAAUAAGAAGUACUUCGUAUGUUUAAACUUCUAGAUUUGGGAGGCUACUGGGUGUAUUUUAUCGAGAACAUGUCUUAAAUUUUUUUUUAAUCAACAAUUACGUGUAUUAUAUAUCUUUAUUUUAUUUCUAACCCAUUUUAAUAUCCCGUGCUGAUGCACGGGGCAUAUUCUAGUUAGGAAAGAAUCCUAUAGUUAUUGAAUCACCGCAAAAAAGGGAAGAAGAAUUUUUAAUAACAAUGACUUACUAAUAACUAAUUUUUAAUUAAAUACUAAACUGAAAUAAUAAUAAAAAAUUGAAAGAAUUGAAAAAAUAAUAUCUUAACUGUUUUAUAAUUACAAUUUUUUUUUUUUUUUAAAAAGUAGAGAAAAAGAAGAAGUAACGUAAGUGUUUUUUUAAUAAUCUCAGGACAAUUUAACUAAAAGCAAUAUUGUACAAACUAUAAAAGUUCAAUCAUCCUGCAAAACUGAUUCAGAUACACUUUCAGGUUGCUCUUCCCUGAUAAAAAGACUUCAGGGAUAAAAAUAGAGUAAUGGUUUGUGGUUUGGUGCAUAGGCCAAGUGAAAGAAUCGCACAUGAAUGCAUCACAAGGCAUCGCAGCCAGUGGCGGACCCACCAUAUAACAUGGGUAUGCACGUGCAUAACCAUUAUUUUUAAAAACAAAAAAAAAAAAAAAAAUUAAAAAAAUUUGAGAAAUCUCGUGAGGUACUGUAAACCCAAACCACGCAUCUUCCCCUUCCCAAUUUCCAUGUCAAAGAUUUUUUGUCUCUCCUCUCAUGGCUCUCACCUAUUCACCUUCUCUGCUCCUUGCCUCUUUACUUCCUUAGUUCCUUAGACUCCUCUCGGCUCUCGAUCCCGGCGUUGCGCGCACCACCACAACGGAACCAAUUACCAAUAGACAGUUAAACUGAUUAGAAAUUAGGGUCAGUGAUUUGGGAAUUGCCGAAUUCGGAUUUCGGAGUUAGAUCUAAGCGGCACUUCGGCAGGCCGGCAGCGACGAAGCGCGACGAUUCAACCACCGACACUGGUGGUCGACGCCUCGACGGACUGCAGGAGCAACCAAGCAAGGUCAGGUCUAACAUGUGGGCCGGUUUAGGUGGUGUGCUGAUGCGUUGGAGUGUUGUUCUGGUCUGAGACUACUGGAUUCAGCCAUGGGCAGAGGCAGAGGUCAGUGGAUGAGUCAGGAUGAUGUUGCUGGUGCUGGGUUAUGGUGCAAGAUACUAAUCAGGUGUUGAUGUGGAAGUGUAGUAAAGCAGUAAUACAAUAUAAAAACUUGAAUGUGUAUAUGUACAUGGUACGUACUCUAGGUGUGCCACUACAUAAUUUAAUCUAAUAUGGUUUACAAUCACUCUAACAACAUAAUUUUCCUAUUAUUAUAUGCACAAUUUCUCAAGGAGCCAAGUUUUCAGAUAAGCACAGUGUGACUCCAACAGAA